rnacentral:rRNA from 1 species
UACAGAGGGUGCAAGCGUUGUUCGGAAUUAUUGGGCGUAAAGGGAGUGUAGGCGGUUUGCUAAGUCUUCUGUGAAAUCUACGGGCUCAGCCUGUAACGUGCAGAGGAAACUGACAGACUUGAGUGUCGGAGAGGAUAGUGGAAUUCCCGGUGUAGAGGUGAAAUUCGUAGAGAUCGGGAGGAACACCAGUGGCGAAGGCGACUAUCUGGCUGACAACUGACGCUGAGACUCGGAAGCAUGGGGAGCAAACAGG